rnacentral:misc_RNA from 1 species
AACAUCGCGCACCUGCGGGAACCUGCGGAAGGAUCAUUACAGAGUUGCAAGACUCCCUAAACCAUUGUGAACCUACCUUCUACCGUUGCUUCGGCGGGCGGGCCCAGCGCCCCCCCGGCCCCCCGCGGGCGCCCGCCGGAGGAUACCCAAACUCUUGACAUUAGUGGCCUCUCUGAGUAUUCUUUACUGAAUAAGUCAAAACUUUUAGCAACGGAUCU